rnacentral:rRNA from 1 species
CACGUAGGGUGCGAGCGUUGUCCGGAAUUAUUGGGCGUAAAGAGCUCGUAGGCGGUGUGUCGCGUCGGCCGUGAAAACCUGCAGCUUAACUGUGGGCUUGCGGUCGAUACGGGCAUCACUGGAGUUCGGCAGGGGAGACUGGAAUUCCUGGUGUAGCGGUGAAAUGCGCAGAUAUCGGGAAGAACACCCGUGGCGAAGGCGGCACUCUGGGACGGUACUGACGCUGAGACGCGAAAGUGUGGGGAGCGAACAGG